UACCAAAGAAAUCAAGCGGCUGCAGCUUUCCCUCCAACCGAACGCUCAACUAGGAAUGCUGAAAGUGGAAACCCAUCGUUCGCUCUGCCGAGAUUACCUUCCAUUCUGAGACCAAGUUGCACGCCUUCCUUGCUGUCAACCAGGCGGUGAUCCUUGCUGCUGACGGUGACAACUGCUGGGAAAGAACUGGACUACCAUCCUGCCGUUCUCUGCUGCGUUCAGUGUUCAGACAAAAAGCGGCCUCAGACCAAACCUCGUCUGCUCUCAACUCAAGGCUCCUUUGAAGUUGGAACAAAUCUCAAAGAAGAACUCGACCGCCGCAACUGCCAACUGUUUGACUAAGAAGAUGUACCAGAGGCCUUUCCCCAAAAUUCAAAACUUCAAAUGAAAAUCAUUUUGUUCCUGAAUAUUCACACCCACUCCAUACGGUGACAGGAAACCUGCCUCAUGCUGCACCAACCUCAGAAGUAAAAUAACUACAAGGACAUCCCCAGGGUAUAAUGGUUUCAUCUGGAGUACUUAUCUUUCCAAUCAACAAUGAGGGGUUGAUGCAAAAUGCGGACAUGAAGUGGAAGCAUCGUGAGCUUGUUUUUGGAACACAGACCACCAUCUUUGUUGAGAUGCACACAGAAUGGGCAAGGAGGUGGCAAGAGGAUCAGAGCAACAUACCAGAUGGUGAAAUUCCUGCCAGGGCUGGAGUUCUUUGAGAACACCAGUGGAUAAGCUAGCUUGUUUUGGCUGGCUCCAGAGUCCCUGCUGACAUCCGCAUCCUGGAAAAGGAAAAAAAAAAUAUUGUAAGAAAGCAACUACCCCAUAUGGUGAGAACCUAAAAUCAAUCGAGGUAAGGAGUACCAAGCCAUCUGCAGACAAAAUCGGGCAAGGUAAAACCUCCCAGUUGGACUCUCUCUCAUCAUGUAACCACCGGAAAUGUACACCGACAUUUCGGCUGGUGCCAGCUUCUCAGAGGAAAGAGGUUUCGCAAACAUGAUGACGAAGAUGGACGGAAAACGACCUGCCAGCUCAAUUACAUUUCUGGAAUGCAUCUGGGCAAAAUUCUGAUGUAGAUGGAAGCCAAAAAAUCAUUCUGACUGAACAGUUCAGCUUCAAAUACACCAACUCCAAGAAACAUGAGGACUCUAAAGUACUUAAUCUAGCAAUAUUAAUUACAGUGGUUAGCUGAUUGCCUAUCCUUUUCUUAUAAACCAAUCUGCUUUCCAUCACUGGUCAUUUCAGAGCCAACGUGAUUAGCAGAACAUUUUGAGAAUAAAAUUAAAAAGUAA